rnacentral:rRNA from 1 species
GACGAACGCUGGCGGCGUGCUUAACACAUGCAAGUCGAACGGAAAGGCCCUGCUUUUGUGGGGUGCUCGAGUGGCGAACGGGUGAGUAACACGUGAGUAACCUGCCCUUGACUUUGGGAUAACUCCAGGAAACUGGGGCUAAUACCGGAUAGGAGCUCCUGCUGCAUGGUGGGGGUUGGAAAGUUUCGGCGGGUGGGGAUGGACUCGCGGCUUAUCAGCUUGUUGGUGGGGUAGUGGCUUACCAAGGCUUUGACGGGUAGCCGGCCUGAGAGGGUGACCGGCCACAUUGGGACGGAGCUACAGCCCAGUGGCCAACGGGACACAGCCGUGGGGUAUGUUGCACAAUGGGCGGAAGCCUAGGGCAGCAACGCCCCGUCCGGAGUCUCGCCCUUCGGGUUGUAAACCGCAGUCGCCUGUGACGAAGCGUGAGUGACUGUAAUGGGUAGGCAAGCCCCGGCUAACUACAUG